CGCAAACGGUCUCUUUACAUCCAUAGUAGCAACUUGGAAGAGUCAAAAACUGUGUUGCAAACAGAUUUUUUUUAAUUUUAUUUUUAUAUUCAACAUGUUUAAGGGACUAUAAGGAAUCUGGGAAUGUCCCCAAAACAGUGAUUAAAGGAGAAUGCAGCCUAAAUUGAGAAUUUGGAAAUUGGUAUUUCCAUGGCCAAUAAGUUCAGUCAAUACUUGUGAACUUGAGGAACUCUCUCACAAAGCCAGAAACCAGAGAAAUGCUUCAUUUGUUUGGACACACUGCGAGAGAGGAAAUAACGCUCCAUAGCAGCAGGCCUCAGGAUACAAUAUUAUCAUGAUACUUAACUCACAAUACAAUGUUUU